GGAGUGGUAGUUCAGUUGGUUAGAAUAUCGGCCUGUCACGUCGAGGGUCGCGGGUUCGAGUCCCGUCCACUCCGCCA
rnacentral:tRNA from 3 species